ensembl:miRNA
UGGGCCUCCGCCUGGUUCAAGUAAUCCAGGAUAGGCUGGUUCACGCUGGCGCGGCCUAUUCUUGAUUACUUGUUUCAGGAAGCGGUCAUGAGC